GCGUAAUGCAGGAAACCAUGGAUUACCACGCCCUAAACGCGAUGCUGAAUCUUUAUGAUAAAGCAGGCCAUAUUCAGUUCGACAAGGACCAGCAGGCGAUCGACGCCUUCUUUGCCGCCCACGUCCGCCCGCAUUCCGUGACGUUUGCCAGCCAGCAUGAACGUCUGGAGACGCUGGUUCGGGAAGGGUAUUACGAUGACGCCGUCCUCGCGCGUUACGACCGCGCCUUCGUCCUUCGCCUGUUCGAGCACGCCCAUGCCAGCGGCUUUCGCUUCCAGACGUUUCUUGGCGCCUGGAAGUUCUAUACCAGUUACACGCUGAAAACCUUCGACGGCAAACGUUAUCUGGAACACUUUGAAGAUCGGGUG
rnacentral:misc_RNA from 1 species